UAGCGGAGGAAAAGAAACCAACAGGGAUUGCCUUAGUAGCGGCGAGUGAAGCGGCAAGAGCUCAAAUUUGAAAUCUGGUACUUUCAGUAUCCGAGUUGUAAUUUGAAGAAAGUUAUCUUGGAAAAAGCCCUUGUCUAUGUUCCUUGGAACAGGACGUCACAGAGGGUGAGAAUCCCGUGCGAUGGGGUGCCCAUUCUAUGUAAGAUACUUUCGACGAGUCGAGUUGUUUGGGAAUGCAGCUCUAAGUGGGUGGUAAAUUCCAUCUAAAGCUAAAUAUUGGCGAGAGACCGAUAGCGAACAAGUACAGUGAUGGAAAGAUGAAAAGAACUUUGAAAAGAGAGUGAAAAAGUACGUGAAAUUGUUGAAAGGGAAGGGUAUUUGAUCAGACUGAUAUUCAGUUAACACUGUUCCUUGUGGAUGGUGCUCUAGCUUUUUAUUGGGCCAGCAUCAGUUUAGGUGGCAGGAUAAGAACUGUUGAACGUGGCUCUU
rnacentral:rRNA from 1 species